GAUGAACGCUAGCGGCAGGCCUAACACAUGCAAGUCGAGGGGUAACAGGGAAAAGCUUGCUUUUCCGCUGACGACCGGCGCACGGGUGCGUAACGCGUAUGCAACCUACCUCUUACUGGGGUAUAGCCCAGAGAAAUUUGGAUUAAUCCCCCAUAGUACCACUUCACCGCAUGGUGAGGUGGUUAAAGAUUACGGUAGGAGAUGGGCAUGCGUCCCAUUAGUUAGUUGGUGAGGUAACGGCUCACCAAGACUUCGAUGGGUAGGAGUUCUGAGAGGAUGAUCCCCCACACUGGUACUGAGACACGGACCAG
rnacentral:rRNA from 1 species